GGGUCACAGACUUCGGGCAUUUCCAACUCCCAUGGUGUGACGGGCGGUGUGUACAAGACCCGGGAACGUAUUCACCGCGACAUUCUGAUUCGCGAUUACUAGCGAUUCCAGCUUCAUGUAGUCGAGUUGCAGACUACAAUCCGAACUGAGAUGACCUUUUUGGGAUUUGCUCCUCUUCACAGCUUCGCUUCCCUUUGUAGUCACCAUUGUAGCACGUGUGUAGCCCAGAUCAUAAGGGGCAUGAUGAUUUGACGUCAUCCCCGCCUUCCUCCAGGUUAUCCCUGGCAGUCUCCCUAGGGUGCCCGGCCGAACCGCUGGCUACUAAGAAUAAGGGUUGCGCUCGUUGCGGGACUUAACCCAACAUCUCACGACACGAGCUGACGACAACCAUGCACCACCUGUCUCCCCUGUCCCGAAGGAAAGGUCCCGUUACGGACCGGUCAGGGGGAUGUCAAGACCUGGUAAGGUUCUUCGCGUUGCUUCGAAUUAAACCACAUGCUCCACCGCUUGU
rnacentral:rRNA from 1 species